rnacentral:tRNA from 2 species
CUAUAGGUAGCUUAAGUUUAAAGCUCAGGAUUCUUACUUCUGUGAUGUCUUGGUUCAGACUCUGUAGG